rnacentral:rRNA from 1 species
UACCCGCACCCCGAGUGUUCGGGACGAUUAUUGGGCCUAAAGCAUCCGUAGCCGGUUCUACAAGUCUUCCGUUAAAUCCACCUGCUCAACAGAUGGGCUGCGGAGGAUACUAUAGAGCUAGGAGGCGGGAGAGGCAAGCGGUACUUAGUGGGUAGGGGUAAAAUCCGUUGAUCCAUUGAAGACCACCAGUGGCGAAGGCGGCUUGCCAGAACGCACUCGACGGUGAGGGAUGAAAGCUGGGGGAGCAAACGGG